rnacentral:rRNA from 1 species
AGAGUUUGAUCCUGGCUCAGAACGAACGCUGGCGGCGUGGAUAAGACAUGCAAGUCGAACGCUGACAUUCAGGUAGCAAUAUUUGGAUGUCGGAGUGGCGCAAGGGUGCGUAACACGUGGGUAAUUUGCCGUAAAGUCUGGGACAACUUGCUGAAAGGCGAGCUAAUACCGGAUGUGAAUUUUCGAGGGCAUCUUUGGAAAUUCAAAGUUGGGGACCGCAAGGCCUGACGCUUUACGAUAAGCCCGCGGCCUAUCAGCUAGUUGGUGAGGUAACGGCUCACCAAGGCUAAGACGGGUAGCUGGUCUGAGAGGACGACCAGUCACACUGGAACUGAGACACGGUCCAGACACCUACGGGUGGCAGCAGCCGAGAAUUUUUCUCAAUGGGCGAAAGCCUGAAGGAGCGACGCCGCGUGGGGGAUGAAUGGCUUCGGCCCGUAAACCCCUGUCAUUUGCGAACAAAUUGUUUCACCCAACACGUGAAACAUUGAUUGUAGCGGAAGAGGAAGGGACGGCUAACUCUGUGCCAGCAGCCGCGGUAAUACAGAGGUCCCAAGCGUUGUUCGGAUUCACUGGGCGUAAAGGGUGCGUAGGCGGUUGGAUAAGUCUGAUGUGAAAUCCCGCAGCUUAACUGCGGAACUGCAUUGGAAACUAUCCGGCUAGAGGAAUGGAGGGGAGACUGGAAUACUUGGUGUAGCAGUGAAAUGCGUAGAUAUCAAGUGGAACACCAGUGGCGAAAGGCGAGUCUCUGGACAUUUCCUGACGCUGAGGCACGAAAGCCAGGGGAGCAAACGGGAUUAGAUACCCCGGUAGUCCUGGCCCUAAACGGUGCACGUUUGCUGUAAGUGGAAUCGACCCCACUUGUGGCGUAGUUAACACGAUAAACGUGCCGCCUGGGAAGUACGGCCGCAAGGUUAAAACUCAAAGAAAUUGACGGGGGCCUGCACAUACCGUG